rnacentral:rRNA from 1 species
UACGGGGGGAGCAAGCGUUGUUCGGAUUUACUGGGCGUAAAGGGCUCGUAGGCGGCCAACUAAGUCAGACGUGAAAUCCCUCAGCUUAACUGGGGAACUGCGUCUGAUACUGGAUGGCUUGGAUUCGGGAGAGGAAUGCGGAAUUCCAGGUGUAGCGGUGAAAUGCGUAGAUAUCUGGAGGAACACCGGUGGCGAAGGCGGCAUUCUGGACCGACAUUGACGCUGAGGAGCGAAAGCCAGGGGAGCAAACGGG